AUUGAACGCUGGCGGCAUGCCUUACGCAUGCAAGUCGAACGGCAGCACGGGGGCAAUCCUGGUGGCGAGUGGCGAACGGGUGAGUAAUAUAUCGGAACGUGCCCAGUAGUGGGGGAUAACUGCUCGAAAGAGCAGCUAAUACCGCAUACGACCUGAGGGUGAAAGGGGGGGAUCGCAAGACCUCUCGCUAUUGGAGCGGCCGAUAUCAGAUCAGCUAGUUGGUGGGGUAAAGGCCUACCAAGGCAACGAUCUGUAGUUGGUCGGAGAGGACGACCAGCCACACUGGGACUGGGAGACGGCCCAGACUCCUACGGGAGGCAGCAGUGGGGAAUUUUGGACAAUGGGCGCAAGCCUGAUCCAGCAAUGCCGCGUGCAGGAAGAAGGCCUUCGGGUUGUAAACUGCUUUUGUCAGGGAAGAAAUCCUCUAGGUUAAUACCCUUGGGGGGAUGACGGUACCUGAAGAAUAAGCACCGGCUAACUACGUGCCAGCCGCCGCAGUAAUAC
rnacentral:rRNA from 1 species